rnacentral:rRNA from 1 species
AACGAACGCUGGCGGCAUGCCUAACACAUGCAAGUCGUACGAGACCUUCGGGUCUAGUGGCGCACGGGUGCGUAACGCGUGGGAACCUGCCCUUAGGUUCGGAAUAACUCCCCGAAAGGGGUGCUAAUACCGGAUAAUGUCUUCGGACCAAAGAUUUAUCGCCUUUGGAUGGGCCCGCGUUGGAUUAGCUAGUUGGUAGGGUAAAAGCCUACCAAGGCGACGAUCCAUAGCUGGUCUGAGAGGAUGAUCAGCCACACUGGGACUGAGACACGGCUCAGACUCCUACGGGAGGCAGCAGUGGGGAAUAUUGGACAAUGGGCGAAAGCCUGAUCCAGCAAUGCCGCGUGAGUGAUGAAGGCCUUAGGGUUGUAAAGCUCUUUUACCCGGGAUGAUAAUGACAGUACCGGGAGAAUAAGCUCCGGCUAACUCCGUG